GAUGAACGCUGGCGGCGUGCCUAAUACAUGCAAGUCGAGCGAACCACUUCGGUGGAGAGCGGCGAACGGGUGAGUAACACGUAGGUCAUCUACCCAUUAGACGGGGAUAACGUUUGGAAACGAACGCUAAUACCGGAUAGGAAGAAAUUUUAAAGGUGCUUCGGGCACCCGCAAUGGAUUAGCCUGCGGCGCAUUAGCCAGUUGGUAAGGUAAGAGCUUACCAAGGGGAACAUGCGUAGCCGAACUGAGAGGGUGAACGGCCGCACUGGGACAGAGACACGGCCCAGACUCCUACGGGAGGCAGCAGUAGGGAAUCUUCGGCAAUGGACGAAAGUCUGACCGAGCAACGCCGCGUGAAUGAAGAAGGCCUUCGGGUUGUAAAGUUCUGUUAUAAGAGAAGAAAGACUAUAGUAGGAAAUGGCUAUAGAGUGACGGUACCUUAUGAGAAAGCCACGGCUAACUACGUGCCAGCAGCCGCAGUAACAC
rnacentral:rRNA from 1 species